GCCGCCGCGGUCUGAAACGUUCAAUGCGCCGACAGGUGAUAACGAAGCGGCUGCUACUUUAUGACUUUGUAACAUGACAAGGGGAUCCCGAGUACUACAGCUGCUAUCGAAAGUGUCUCGGAAGAAGGGGUGUCAUAGGACCGCUGUGGAAGGCAUUCCUGGAAGUGAGCCAGCGAUACAUAUGCUUGAGCUGCGUGAUUCAUACUUUGCACAGAGCGGCCCGGCUGAAGAGCACUAUCCGAUUUCUGUGCGUCCUGGGCGGCGUAACCACCAACAAGGUGUGACAUGACGUGAUUGACAUAACCUCCUGAAGCAAGGUUUUUAUUUUUUUUUUUUAUUUAGUCGUCGCCAGUGGUUUUGACCCCGGUUUUCUCCCCAAUUUGGAAUGCCCAAUUAUUAUUUUAUAUCCCGGUUCACUAAUGCAACUCCCUCCCCGACUCGGGAAACGGUGGCAGACACACAUGUCCUCCGAAACGUGUCCUGCCAAGCCGGCUUUUUUUGUGCUGCAGGUCUACAGCGAAGCCACCAGACCCAUAGUGCCGGAGGACAACACAGAUCGACCACAGGAGUCGCUGGUGCGCGGUGAACCGAGGAUUACCCUGAACCCUCCCCACCCGGGCGGCGCUCGGUCAAUUGUGCGCUGCCCCCUGGGAACUCCCGGCCAUGAUCGGCGAUGGCAUAACCUGGACUCGAACCAGCGAUCUCCAGGCUAUAGGAUACAUCCUGCACUCCAUGUGGAGCGCCUUUACUGGAUGCGCCUCUCGGGAGCCCCCUGAAGCAAGAUUAAAACAUUGUUUUCUUCUCUUAGCAUAUAAGAGGAGGUAGUCUUGGAAAGCAUUCGUCAAUAUUCAGUUUAUAAGGAUUUUGGGAACAGGUUCUCCAUUGUAAUCCAAGUUUACCGCUGUAAAUUUUCAGUACAUGUUUUCACUUACUCUGCAAGUAGAAUAUAUGUCAAGCCAACCUUCCCUUUACCCAUUCAGUCAAUCAGAGGUUUACACAUUAUAGUGGCAAUCAAUCAAAUUAAAAUACGUUUCCGGACGCAUGUAUUAGACCAACAGUAAAGACACAUAACAACAAUGAACAUUGUAUUUCAGAAACUAAGUGGGUUGGGCUUAGUCAGUGUUUGGAUGGGAAACUUGCAAAGAAAGUCACCUGUUUUAAUACUAAAAGAAGCCUUGUACACAUUUUUGACACAUGUUUCAACUACAUAGCAUUCUCUACACAUUAAAACCUGUUUCUUAGUGUUAGGUGGGUGAAAAGAAGCGAUCAGUUUGACAGUGAGAAGUCACCUGUUGAUCUUCAGUCUAUCUGAUCGGUAAGUGGCAACAAUCUAAUUGGGCAUUUCAAAUCAGGUUGUCAAAAUUGUGCUCUUAGCAGCCUGGCGUUAGUAGGGCACGUGUGCUUGGGGUGCUGUCCAUGUUUAUGACCCGUCUCUUCAUUGUGAACUAAGGUCACUAAAUCACGCUUCUCCUCUAGGGCUUCAUCUAUGAGCUUGUACAGUCUUGGAAAAGAGAAUCACAUCACACUAGGAAUCUGUCAUAUAGGUUUACACAAAACAGUUUAGCAAAUAAGGUGAACGGAAUGUGCCUUCUUGAAGCUGUAUGGCUCUCCCGAGGCCUCCUCAAAUAAAGGCAUUCUG